rnacentral:rRNA from 1 species
AUAUUGGUGCGAGACCGAUAGCAUACAAGUACCGUGAGGGAAAGAUGAAAAGAACUUUGAAAAGAGAGUUAAAGAGUACCUGAAACUGCUGAAAGGGAACCGAAUCGUUUCCAGUGUCUAUAAUCCGUGACAUAUUUCAUUGGCGAGUGUGUGCGUGCGUGUGCUAUGGCAGCGGCUUUUUUGGCUGCGCUUGGCGUGUGUGCUGUGUGUGCUUGCUGGUGCCCUGUGCUGCGGUGGGACGUCAAUGUCAGUUCGUAUGCUGCGGGAAAUGGCUGCCGAGGAGGUAGGGCUUACGCUUGCGUUUGUCUGUUAUAUCUUGGUGGACGAGUAGUCGCGGUUGGGACUGAGGUGCCUACAACGUGCUUUUGAGUGGGUUUGUGUCUCCGUGUGCACCGUGUGCGGAUAGCUUGCUAUGUGUGUGUGGUUGUGUGUGGA